GAUGUCAGAGUCGUCAUCCACAACAGAUCUGCUACCCGAUGAAUUACUGUGAGUUGAUUCUGGACUGACGCCAGAGAAUGGAGAAGCAAAGGUCUUUUGAGAAAUAAUUCCAUCAUGCCUACGCAAGUAGUUGUUGAGUUUUCUAUAUCGCUGUACACUAGAAAAAUGCUGGUCCAUGACAUUUGAAUUCAUGUGUCUAGUAU
rnacentral:lncRNA from 1 species